UACGGGGGGGGCAAGCGUUGUUCGGAAUUACUGGGCGUAAAGGGCGCGUAGGCGGUUUGCUAAGUUGGAUGUGAAAACUCUGGGCUUAACCCAGAGCCUGCAUUCAAAACUGACAGGCUAGAGUUCUGGAGGGGAUAGCGGAAUUCCUGGUGUAGCGGUGAAAUGCGUAGAUAUCAGGAGGAACACCAGUGGCGAAGGCGAGUCUCUGGACAUUUCCUGACGCUGAGGCACGAAAGCCAGGGGAGCAAACGGG
rnacentral:rRNA from 1 species